rnacentral:misc_RNA from 1 species
UCCGGCUUGUCACCGGCAGUUCCCCUAGAGUGCCCGGCCGAACCGAUGGCAACAUAGGACGAGGGUUGCGCUCGUUGCGGGACUUAACCCAACAUCUCACGACACGAGCUGACGACAGCCAUGCACCACCUGUGCACGGCCCUUACGGACCCGACAUCUCUGCCGGAUUUCCGUGCAUGUCAAACCCAGGUAAGGUUCUUCGCGUUGCAUCGAAUUAAUCCGCAUGCUCCGCCGCUUGUGCGGGCCCCCGUCAAUUCCCUUGAGUUUUAGCCUUGCGGCCGUACUCCCAGGCGGGGUGCUUAAUGCGUUAGCUUCGGCACGGAGAGGGUUGAAGACCUCCCCACACCUAGCACCCAACGUUUACGGCUGGGACUAC